rnacentral:rRNA from 2 species
GCAUCAUGRUUUACAUUUGAGUGAGUGGCGAACUGGUGAGUAACACGUGGGAAACCUGCCCAGAAGCGGGGGAUAACACCUGGAAACAGAUGCUAAUACCGCAUAACAACUUGGACCGCAUGGUCCGAGCUUGAAAGAUGGCUUCGGCUAUCACUUUUGGAUGGUCCCGCGGCGUAUUAGCUAGAUGGUGGGGUAACGGCUCACCAUGGCAAUGAUACGUAGCCGACCUGAGAGGGUAAUCGGCCACAUUGGGACUGAGACACGGCCCAAACUCCUACGGGAGGCAGCAGUAGGGAAUCUUCCACAAUGGACGAAAGUCUGAUGGAGCAACGCCGCGUGAGUGAAGAAGGGUUUCGGCUCGUAAAACUCUGUUGUUAAAGAAGAACAUAUCUGAGAGUAACUGUUCAGGUAUUGACGGUAUUUAACCAGAAAGCCACGGCUAACUACGUGCCAGCAGCCGCGGUAAUACG